rnacentral:rRNA from 1 species
GAGUUUGAUCCUGGCUCAGGAUGAACGCUAGCGGCAGGCCUAACACAUGCAAGUCGAACGGUAACAGCAGAGCUUGCUCUGGCUGACGAGUGGCGCACGGGUGCGUAACGCGUAUACAAUCUACCUAUUACUGGAGUAUAGCCCGAAGAAAUUUGGAUUAAUCCCCCAUAGUAUUAUGAGAUGGCAUCAUUUUAUAAUUAAAACUACGGUGGUAAUAGAUGAGUAUGCGUCCUAUUAGUUUGUUGGUAAGGUAACGGCUUACCAAGGCAUCGAUAGGUAGGGGUCCUGAGAGGGAGAUCCCCCACACUGGUACUGAGACACGGACCAGACUCCUACGGGAGGCAGCAGUGAGGAAUAUUGGACAAUGGAGGCAACUCUGAUCCAGCCAUGCCGCGUGCAGGAAGACUGCCCUAUGGGUUGUAAACUGCUUUUAUAGAGGAAGAAACCUCCCUACGUGUAGGGAGCUGACGGUACUCUACGAAUAAGGAUCGGCUAACUCCGUGCCAGCAGCCGCGGUAAUACGGAGGAUCCAAGCGUUAUCCGGAAUCAUUGGGUUUAAAGGGUCCGUAGGCGGGCAGUUAAGUCAGUGGUGAAAGUCUUCCGCUCAACGGGAGAAUUGCCAUUGAUACUGAUUGUCUUGAGUUAUUAUGAAGUGGUUAGAAUGAGUAGUGUAGCGGUGAAAUGCAUAGAUAUUACUCAGAAUACCGAUUGCGAAGGCAGAUCACUAAUAAUGUACUGACGCUGAUGGACGAAAGCGUAGGUAGCGAACAGGAUUAGAUACCCUGGUAGUCUACGCCGUAAACGAUGGUUACUAGCUGUUUGGACGAUUGAGUCUGAGUGGCUAAGCGAAAGUGAUAAGUAACCCACCUGGGGAGUACGUUCGCAAGAAUGAAACUCAAAGGAAUUGACGGGGGCCCGCACAAGCGGUGGAGCAUGUGGUUUAAUUCGAUGAUACGCGAGGAACCUUACCAGGGCUUAAAUGCAGUCUGACGUAUCUGGAAACAGAUAUUUCUUCGGACAGAUUGCAAGGUGCUGCAUGGUUGUCGUCAGCUCGUGCCGUGAGGUGUCAGGUUAAGUCCUAUAACGAGCGCAACR